UUUCAAAGCCACAAUGGAGGAAAGAUCACACAGAGACAGAGAAAGAUGCUGGGGAGCCUAACAUGUCCCAGUCCCACCUGUAAUCCCCCACCUGGAAGAUUGAAGCAUGGUGGGUGCAUGUGUGUGUGUGCCCAAGAUCUUGGCGAGCUGGAGACCUGGAGGAAGAGGAUCAAGAGGCUGGUAUACCACUAGCAGUAGGGAUUCCAUGAAGCACCAGUUAAUGAAUGGGAAAGGACAGAAGAAAAGAAGCCAAUACAGUUUUCAGAACCCUGGAGAUACACCUGUCAACCCACUUUGCAGAUAAGCCAAUUGAGGCUUAGAGAAACUUGACAAUUGACUCAAGGUCAUACCUCCAGGAUUUAACACUUGUAGUUUGGCGGCAACAUCAGGCACUCAACCGGAUCAUACCCAUCACCUUUGCUGUGGCUCAGCAGGAU